AAUUUGAAAGUUUUCCUUUCAUACAGAAGAGGUUGCUGUGGAAAUUAAACCCUAAAUUCCCAAAUUUGAGUCACAUUAUCAAAACAGUGUUUUCUCGCAAUCGCAUCUCACAACGGGAUUUCAAUUUCUUGGCGAAUAAUAACAGGGCCAGAAAAACUGUUCUUUUGAGCUCAAAUUGAUGGAGAAAAUGGAAGAAGAAGAUGAUUAUGAGGAGUAUGUGCCCGUGGCCAAACGUCGGGCCAUUGAAGCUCAGAAGAUUCUCCAACGCAAGGGGAAGGCUCCUUUGGCCACAGAUGAUGAUUUGGAGAGAUUGAGGGCGGCUGAAUCGAAGCCUAGUCUGCUGGUUAAAGCUUCACAGAUGAAAAGAGAACAACCCGAGAUCAGUGUGACGGAGCAGAUUGUUCAGCAGGAGAAAGAGAUGAUUGAAAACUUGUCGGAUAGAAAAACCCUCAUGUCUGUCCGUGAAUUGGCUAAGGGAAUCACUUAUUCGGAACCUUUGCCAACAGGGUGGAAGCCACCUUUGCAUGUAAGAAGGAUGUCCAAGAAGGAGUGUGAUUUGAUUCGGAAGCAGUGGCAUAUAAUAGUUGAUGGUGGUGAUAUCCCGCCCCCAAUUAAGAAUUUUAAGGAUAUGAGAUUUCCUGAGCCAGUUUUGAAGAAGUUGAAAGCUAAGGGGAUUGUGCAACCAACACCUAUUCAGGUGCAAGGACUUCCUGUAAUCUUAUCUGGGCGGGAUAUGAUUGGGAUUGCAUUCACGGGCUCUGGAAAAACUCUUGUCUUUGUUCUACCGAUGAUAAUGGUGGCAAUGCAAGAGGAGAUUAUGAUGCCUAUUGUUCCUGGGGAAGGUCCUUUUGGUUUGAUUAUUUGUCCAUCAAGGGAACUGGCUAGGCAGACUUAUGAAGUGGUAGAACAAUUCUUGAUACCUCUGAAAGAAGCCGGAUAUCCGGAGCUCAGGCCUUUGCUUUGUAUUGGUGGAGUGGAUAUGAGAUCGCAGCUUGAGAUUGUGAAGAAGGGUGUGCAUAUAGUUGUUGCCACUCCUGGGAGGUUGAAGGAUAUGUUGGCCAAAAAGAAAAUGAAUCUUGACAACUGCAGGUAUUUAACAUUAGAUGAGGCUGAUCGGUUGGUGGAUCUGGGAUUUGAAGAUGAUAUUAGAGAAGUUUUUGAUCACUUCAAAGCUCAAAGGCAGACUCUUCUAUUUUCUGCAACCAUGCCAACGAAAAUUCAGAACUUUGCCAGGAGCGCAUUGGUGAAACCAAUCAUUGUCAAUGUGGGACGUGCAGGGGCAGCAAAUCUUGAUGUAAUUCAGGAGGUAGAGUAUGUUAAGCAGGAGGCAAAAAUAGUUUAUCUCCUUGAGUGCCUACAAAAAACCCCUCCACCAGUUCUCAUAUUUUGUGAGAAUAAGGCUGAUGUCGAUGACAUCCAUGAAUACCUUCUCUUGAAAGGAGUGGAAGCAGUGGCAAUUCACGGAGGCAAGGAUCAGGAAGAGAGAGAGUAUGCCAUUGCAGCUUUUAAGGCUGGCAAGAAAGAUGUGUUGGUGGCAACUGAUGUUGCAUCCAAAGGUUUGGAUUUUCCUGAUAUUCAGCACGUCAUUAACUAUGACAUGCCAGCUGAAAUUGAAAAUUAUGUCCAUAGGAUUGGCCGAACUGGUAGAUGUGGGAAAACUGGUAUAGCAACGACAUUUAUAAACAAGAAUCAAAGUGAAACAACAUUACUUGAUUUGAAACACCUAUUGCAAGAAGCAAAACAAAGGAUUCCCCCAGUUUUGGCUGAGUUGAACGAUCCAAUGGAAGACAAUGAUGAAAUCACAGGCAUAAGUGGAGUCAAGGGAUGUGCAUAUUGUGGUGGACUUGGUCAUCGUAUCAGAGAUUGUCCCAAAUUAGAACAUCAGAAGAGCAUGGCGAUUGCAAAUAAUAGAAAGGAUUAUUUUGGAUCUGGAGGUUACAGAGGGGAAAUUUGAAAGGCUGUCUGUUGGGUACCAAUUUUCUUUGAACAUUACUAGGUUGAUUCAUGUUGGAAUAGGCAGGUGAUUUGUCAGGAGCAGAUGUCUUCUGCUCUGGUAUCAACAUUGUCAUCUCAUCUUCAGUGUCAUUAUUGAACUCCAACAAGUAUAUUUUCGUCACAAAAAAGCGCGUCUGAGACAUUGCAAGAAGUUCUGGUUGCUUUCACAAGUGUAAUCAUGACAAGUAGUGCAAAUUAGUCAAUGAUUUUUAGGAGAGGACAAUGACAGAAACCGUAUAUAUGGUGAUGGUCUUAUUGGCUUCAGUUACACUUUGCUGACUUUUUA